UGCAGAAGCCAGAAGGGGAAAACUGAUACGCUACGUACCCACGAUUAUACCUUCUCGUCGUUAAAUUCGUUUUAAAAAAGAGCCAAUUUCUUCGUUUUUAAUACACGUAUGUUCGUAAAGUUUCACGGAAUAAACGUUGACGCGGACCUUCGCUGUAUGUUGGGUGCUCAUAACAAUGGAGAAAGAUGAAGAAGGAAAAGCAGGUGAAUCACAGCCACCGCCUCAUACACAGCAGCCGUGUCGCUUCUUCUCUCAGGGAAGACACUGCAGUUAUGGCAAGAAAUGUAGAUUUCUACAUGUGACACGUUUACCGAACGAGCCAGAUGCCACACCUCUAAACUCAGAAAACCCUGGUGAAACUUUGGGGGACAGGCCUCCUCUCGUUGAUAACUCCAGGGCUGCUCCAGCAGGACCUCGCCGCCGCCCCUGUCGCUACUUCCUCUCAGGCUACUGUGCCAUGGAGGACAGGUGUCGCUUCUGGCAUCCGCCACAGUUCCCUUUAGUGGACAAUCUGCCUGUUGCAAGCAGUCAAACGAGACCCGCUCAGAGGAAGCCACCAGUACCUCACCCCAGUGUCCUCCACGAGGUCAAGCUGUGUGACUUGACAGAGGAAACCACAGGGAAGCUCCGCGACACCGAAAUCAAGCAGCUGAAGAAACGUUUCCCGAAAGACCAGCUGAUUAUUCAGGAACGAAGUGAUGGCAAAAUGACUUAUUAUAGGAUGGCUGUGGCGGCCACGGAUCCAGAUUGGCCUUUUGACCUGAAAGAAAUUGACGUCAUGGUGAGCUUCCCUGACAAUUACCCCCAAGAGAUUUUCACUGUAGAUAUACCACUGGAUCAGGCUCUACCAUCUGUGAUGGCGAGACAUGUGCAACAAGCAUCUUUGGAGUGGCUCCAGGCCAAGCAUGCAACCAAUCAGCUCAUGGGGAAGGUUGAGCUGCUCUUUCGGCCAUUUCUCCGCUGGCUGGAUCGCAGUUUGGAGAGACUGUUCACUGAAGGAGCGAGGCAGUUGAAAAAAGACGUUGAUUUAGAAAAGGCUGGACUGCAGUUUAUAUCGUACCAGGAGCUCCAGGCUACUGUAUGUGAAAAGUCAGAGACUGAUCACUCCGCUGAUCCUGCUUCUGACACCACCGCCGCUGCUGCUGCUACGGAUGCAGAUGAGGACACCGCCAGUAACGGAGAGCUGGUUAAUAUGGAGGGUGAGGGGAAAAAUGGAGAAGAUGGAGGUUGUAAGAAGGAGCAGUAUCAGGAAGAGGAUGAGGAGGAUGGUGAGGAGGUGGCAGCUGCUAGUCAUCUGGUGGAGAACAUCAAGAUUAGCAAUUCUCGCAGAGGCACAGAGGUGAAGGUGCUGGGACUGAGGCUGGGGGAGAACACAGCCACCGUCGUUGCCCAACAGAUUACAGUUUGCCUUCAGUGCAAUAGGUGUAAGGUAACUGCCGAUCUGACCCUCAGUGGAAGGACAGCCUGCACAGCUCAGUGUGACAAGUGCAGUUCAAGCAUCAGUGCUGCGUUCAGGCCCUGCGUGUUGCACCAUUACAGCGACGUCCUGGGAUACCUGGACCUCCACAACGUUGUGCCCACUGACCUCGUGCUUCAGGACUGUGACUUUAUCGUGGGCUGCCUCAGCUGCUCCCAGGAGAGCCUUGUUCAGAACCUUUCCUAUGGACAGACAAAGGAGUUUAAUUGCGAACACUGCCACAGCAAACUCAAUGUACUCACAGAGAGUGUAAAAUUCCAAUAUAUUGCGCCACGUCCCAACAAAACAGGUACAAGUGCGGUAAAUUUGAAGGUGAUAAGAGACCCUGCUGUGCAGAAAGGGAAGCCACUACCAGAAAAAGGAACCUGCAAACAUUACAAACAGAGCCAUCGCUGGCUGAGGUUUCCCUGCUGCGGCCGGGCUUAUCCCUGUGAUGGGUGCCACGAUGAGGAUCAGGACCACCCCAUGGAGCUGGCCACCAGGAUGCUUUGUGGCUACUGUGCCAAAGAACAGCCGUACAACAACGGAAAGCCUUGCGUUAGUUGUGGGAGCAUGUUGACGAGAGGCGCUCGCACCAGCCACUGGGAGGGAGGACUGGGCUGCAGGAGCAAAGUCAAAAUGAACAGAAAUGAUCGACAGAAAUAUGCCAACACCAACAAAACGAUUUCAAGGAAAGCAGCCAGUGAGAAGAAGUAGCCGGCGAAGAAGAGUUGUGGUGUGUUCCACUUGUGACAUCAUGAUACAAUGAAUCAUGGAAAAUUACAAAAUCUCCUGGGAGAGAAGCUGCCCGUGAUGCAUCAGUACAAGAUCCAGCCAGACAGACAGCCGAC